rnacentral:lncRNA from 1 species
CCUUAUUUGGAGGACCAGGCAUCAUACAAUCAGAUAAUGGAAGGCGCUUCAUCUUUUAGAUGGAUAUCCUCAAUUGGGAACUUCUUUCGCCAACAAUUUGGUUUUGCCGAGGGUCAAACAAUGCUGCAUGUUCAAUAAGCACUCUGCAUUUCAACAAGAGUGACCAGGUGGUGCAGAAUAUGCACAUUUACAUUCAUUCUCUGUGCAUAACUCCAAACGAAAAGGAGAAACAAAAAGAAACCCACCUGUAUAUUAGUAUCCCAUCUUAUGGUUUUGUAAUACAAUGAUAAGGCAGCUUAUGACCGGAGUGAUUGGAAGCUCAUAAAAAUGGGGAUGAUGAGGUAGUCCAGUUG